rnacentral:rRNA from 1 species
CCUACGGGAGGCAGCAGUGGGGAAUAUUGCGCAAUGGGCGAAAGCCUGACGCAGCGACGCCGCGUGAGGGAUGAAGGUCUUCGGAUCGUAAACCUCUGUCAGCAGGGAAGGACGGUCACUGUGCUAAUCAGCAGUGAAUUGACGGUACCUGCAAAGGAAGCACCGGCUAACUCCGUGCCAGCAGCCGCGGUAAUACGGAGGUUGCGUGCGUUAAUCGGAAUUACUGGUCGUAAAGCUCUCGUAGGCGGUAUGUCAAGUCAAGGGUGAAAUCCCCGCUCUCAAGGUGGGAACUGCCUUUGAAACUGGCAAACUGGAGUGUGUGAGAGGAUAGUGGAAUUCCAGGGGUAGGAGUGAAAGCCGUAGAUAUCUGGAGGAACAACAGUGGCGAAGGCGACUAUCUGGCACAUAACUGACGCUGAGGAGCGAAAGCGUGGGUAGCAAACAGGAUUAGAUACCCCAGUAGUC